AUGAGCCAGUGCCGGAGGGGGACCACCAGGACGGUCCGGGGGAUGACCAGCUAACGCUGGCGGCUGCUCUGAGAGCACAACCGAUACCCCGCAAAACCUCAACAGCCGUCGCCCCGGCGCUCAGGUACUGCUCG
ncrna:Escherichia coli HVH 43 (4-2173468) EFASI RNA